rnacentral:rRNA from 1 species
UGCAGGAUCCCGUGAACCAUCGAGUUUUUGAACGCAAGUUGCGCCCGAAGCCGUUAGGCCGAGGGCACGUCUGCCUGGGCGUCACGC